UACGUAGGGGGGCUAGCGUUGUCUGGAAUCAUUGGGCGUAAAGCGCGUGUAGGCGGUUCGGUAAGUCCGCUGUGAAAGUCGGGGGCUCAACCCUCGAAUGCCGGUGGAUACUGUCGGACUAGAGUACGGAAGAGGCGAGUGGAAUUCCUGGUGUAGCGGUGAAAUGCGCAGAUAUCAGGAGGAACACCAAUUGCGAAGGCAGCUCGCUGGGACAUUACUGACGCUGAGACGCGAAAGCGUGGGGGAGCAAACAGG
rnacentral:rRNA from 1 species